CCUACGGGAGGCAGCAGUAGGGAAUCUUUCACAAUGGGCGAAAGCCUGAUGGAGCAACGCCGCGUGCAGGAUGAAGGCCUUCGGGUUGUAAACUGCUUUUAUAAGCGAGAAAUAUGAUGGUAACUUAUGAAUAAGGAUCGGCUAACUACGUGCCAGCAGCCGCGGUCAUACGUAGGAUCCGAGCAUUAUCCGGAGUGACUGGGUGUAAAGAGUUGCGUAGGUGGCAUAAUAAGUAGCUAGUGAAAUCUGGUGGCUCAACCAUUCAGACUAUUAGCUAAACUGUUAAGCUCGAGACCGUCAGGGGUAACUGGAAUUUCUAGUGUAGGAGUGAAAUCCGUAGAUAUUAGAAGGAACACCAAUAGCGUAGGCAGGUUGCUGGGACGGUUCUGACACUAAGGCACGAAAGCGUAGGGAGCAAACGGGAUUAGAUACCCGAGUAGUC
rnacentral:rRNA from 1 species